AAGCUUGUGUUUGAAAUUUUGUAUGCUAGUCCUAUUUAACCUUAUAAUCUAUUACUAUUACUAUGACAGUUACAACAAUAAUAGCCCUUUUUCAUUCAUGUAUUUGAGGAGAUAUACUAAGGGGAUGUUACAGUUUGUAGUCUGUAGGAUGUAAAGCCGCAUCUAUGUAGUAUGAUUGGAAAGCAAUCUAGCCUUAUUUGGAUAAUAUUUUCCAUAAAUGUUUUAUAAGAAAACAAAAUAAGAAGAUAAAAUGAAUUAAACUUCUCUCAUAAGUAUCAACAUAUGUAUCUUGGCUUUUGGAUAAGUUAGAUAAGAGAUUUUCUAUAAAAGUUGGAGUAUACGAGUUUAACUUAUUGGAGAAGUUUAAUUUGGAGAAGUUUAAUUCAUUUUACCCUAUUUUCUUCUAUAACUGUUUAUAGUGAAAACAGAGUCCUAGUUAUUCACGCAUAGCAGUGAGGUUCCUUGGCAAUCCUAUGAAUCUAACGGAGGGUUAAUUGGUACUAAACUAAUAAAUUUAAUGACUUAUCAAACAGAUAAAUACAUUUAAAAUGAAGCAUCAAACUAUAGAUGCUGACUGCUUUUUCUAUUCCUUGCAGCUGAAAUACGGAAACAAAGGCUUAUUGAAAAAUAUAAUCAUCUCAAGUCAUCUGGAAAACUUGAAGCAUUUGUUGAGAAAAGGAGGAGGAGGAAUGCUGCAAAGGACCACAGAUACAUGCCAUAUCGUAGAUCUGAUGACAUGGAAUAGAUUUUGUAGUUUUCAGAUUCUUUCAUAAGCUAUGAUUAUAUUGGAAUAUAGCACCAAAAAUUCGUAUAUGAAUUUUGUCUACCAUUUUUGGGGAUUAAAUAUUGACCCUUAUUAAUGACUAGUGGUAUUUGUUGUGUGACUGACUAGGAUUUAUCUAUUGAAGAUUUACUAAUUUGGUAAUGGAGAGGUGUCACUAGA